GACGAACGCUGGCGGCGCGCUUAACACAUGCAAGUCGAACGGAAAGGCCUGCUUUCCCUUGUGGAUUGCGGGUACUCGAGUGGCGAACGGGUGAGUAACACGUGAGUGAUCUGCCCCCAACUUGGGUAUAAGCCUGGGAAACUGGGUCUAAUUCCCGAUAGGACUGCAGGGUGGUGCCUGUGGUGGAAAACGAUUUUCUAGUGGUUGGGGAUGAGCUCGCGGCCUAUCAGCUUGUUGGUGGGGUAAUGGCCUACCAAGGCGGCGACGGGUAGCCGGCCUGAGAGGGUGGACGGCCACAUUGGGACUGAGAUACGGCCCAGACUCCUACGGGAGGCAGCAGUGGGGAAUAUUACACAAUGGGCGGAAGCCUGAUGCAGCGACGCCGCGUGGGGGAUGACGGCCUUCGGGUUGUGAACUCCUUUCGACCGCGAGGAAGCCACCUGGUUGGAAGGGUGGUGACGGUAGUGGUAGAAGAAGCACCGGCUAACUACGUG
rnacentral:rRNA from 1 species